GCCUACGACCAUAUCACCCUGAAUGCGCCCGAUCUCGUCUGAUCUCGGAAGCUAAGCAUAGUCGAGCCUGGUUAGUACUUGGAUGGGAGACUGCCUGGGAAUACUAGGUGUUGUAGGCU
rnacentral:rRNA from 1 species